rnacentral:rRNA from 1 species
GGCGAACGGGUGAGUAACACGUAGGUGAUCUGUCCCCGGGUGGGGUAUAGCCCAUGGAAACAUGGGGUAAUACCGCAUGAGGUCCUGGAGCUUGAAGGCUUCUGGAUGAAAGGCGCAAUUGUGUUGCCUGGGGAUGAGCCUGCGGCUCAUUAGCUAGUUGGCGGGGUAAGGGCCCACCAAGGCGACGAUGGGUAGCCGGCCUGAGAGGGUGUACGGCCACACUGGGACUGAGACACGGCCCAGACUCCUACGGGAGGCAGCAGCUAAGAAUCUUCCGCAAUGGGGGAAACCCUGACGGAGCGACGCCGCGUGGACGAAGAAGGCCGCAAGGUUGUAAAGUCCUUUUGCAGACGAAGAAUAGGCUUAGGAGUGGAACGCCUGAGCGAUGACGUUAGUCUGCGAAUAAGCCCCGGCCAAUUACGUGCCANCAGCCGCGGUAACACGUAUGGGGCGAGCGUUGUUCGGAAUCACUGGGCGUAAAGGGCGUGUAGGCGGUUC